rnacentral:misc_RNA from 1 species
AACUUUCAACAAUGGAUCUCUUGGUUCUCGCAUCGAUGAGGAACGCAGCGAAAUGCGAUAAGUAAUGUGAAUUGCAGAAUUCAGUGAAUCAUCGAAUCUUUGAACGCACCUUGCGCUCCUUGGUAUUCCGAGGAGCAUGCCUGUUUGAGUGUCGUGAAAUUCUCAACCUUUCAAGUUUUUAAUAUUAAAAGCUAGUCAGGCUUGGAUUCCGGGAAUUGCUGGUUCUUCAAUGAAGUCAGCUCUCCUUAAAUGUAUUAGCAAGAUUAAUCGCUGGAUCACUUGUGAUAUGAUAAUUAUCUAUAUCAUCAAUGAAACGGUGUUUUCCUUCACGGGAAAGAUCUAGCUUCUAACCGUCUCUUUAGAGACAAUUCAUUGACUAUUUGACCUCAAAUCAGGUAGGACUACCCGCUGAACUUAAGCAUAUCAAUAAGCGGAGGCU